ACAGAGGGGGCAAGCGUUGUUCGGAAUUACUGGGCGUAAAGGGCGCGUAGGCGGCCGCUUAAGUCAGACGUGAAAUCCCUUGGCUCAACCAAGGAACUGCGUCUGAUACUGAGUGGCUUGAGUCCGGGAGGGGAGAGCGGAAUUCCAGGUGUAGCGGUGAAAUGCGUAGAUAUCUGGAGGAACGCCGGUGGCGAAAGCGACUUCCUGGACCG
rnacentral:rRNA from 1 species